UAUUCAUUUUUCAUUUUCCAAUUUCCAAUCACUCUCACCUUCUCUCUUUACCCCCAAUCCUCUCUCUGUCUAGUUCGACUCAAACUCUCUCUCUACACCUAAUCCUCUCUCGUCGCUCCUUGCUUUCUUUCUCUACCCUACUCCUUUCUCUCUCUAGCUUGACUCAGACUGGUCUCUCCUCGCUCUUCAAUGGAGAGCUUGAUCUACCAAAAUUAUACUGCGAACACAGUCCAUGUUGGAGUUUGAUUUAGGAGCCAAAUCGACAUCUAAUUCGCCAAAACAGGCCAACAAUCAUCGACGUUAUCUCCAUUUUUGUCCACUCGCAGGUAAAUUUCACAGCUCCUUUUUUGUUUGAAUUUAUUAUUUCAUUAUUAAUUGGGGAUUGAUGUUAUUUCUCACUUUCUCUCUCCACUCUCGCUCCUCACUUCUUCACUCAUCAUUAUUUCUCCUAAAUCAAACUGCGAACCCUAGGUUUUUCACUCUUCAUCAUAAUUUGUUUUUAUUGGAUUUUAUGCUCAAUUAGGCAUUGAUGUUUGUAUAUAUAGUAGUGCAUUAGCACAAUCUUUUAAUUUUCAACAGUAUUUAAACCAUAUGAAUGGAAAACUCGUCAGGCAUAACCACAUACUAGAUAUGGUUUUCAGUAAUUAAAAAAUGUUUCAAGGUUUUAAUUAACAUAUAUACUGCACAAUACUUAAUUCUAUAUAGAAAAUCCAACCAUCAAAAUAUCAUAAUUCUGGACAUUUCCAACAAUAUUAGGAAAAUAUAUAUAUAGUGAAAACAAUUCAGAAAAAAUUACUGCAAGCAAAAACUACAAAUAUCACUUUAAAAAUAUAAGUCACAAAGCAGGAGUAGGAGUGAGUGAGAAAAAGAAAGUCGGAGCAGAAGAGGAGAACUUUAAACUUCAGUCGCAUCUUUAGAAUGCAUACUAUAAUGAACUUAUGAUUUUAAUAUAUAUAACAUGUGUACAUACACGUUGAUGUAUAUAAAUGUACUGAUAAGAAAUUAAUAUAAUCAAAAAAUUGAUCCAUAAUAGGGGGUUAAAGUGGAAUUGUGAAUAUAUUUAGGUUAGAUUAAGUCUAUUCGAUUUGAUAGUGUUUUCUUUACAAUUUUCACCUAUUAUGCUCUAUUGCUGAAAUGUUAUGUAGAUUCAUUGCUUUGUUUAGCUUUGCAUCUGAAAUCUUUAUAUACAAACUUUUGUUGUAUAUAAUUUUGUAUAAACUUGUGUGGCAAAACAAUCAUUCAUUCUUCUUUCUUUUUGUGACCGCAUUAGCAUUGUUCAUCAUAGUUUAUCUGAUUUCAUUAUCUGAUUUUUCUAUUGAUAACAAUUUUCAAUUCUUUUGGCAAUCUGAAAAAUCGCCACAAUUUGGAUUCCAAUGAAUGGCGCUCAAAGCUGGCUAUAAUUUACUUGUUCAUAAGGUUGCAUUAAGUUUCUAAUCAUUCAAUUCUAUCCAUAAUCAAAGUUCUUUGACAACUUAAACUUGUAUGUAUGUAGUUUACACCUCACCCAGCAUCCUCACUUCCCUUCCCCCCCAUCCUUUGCUUGUAAAGACCAUAGUUGUUAAAGGCUCAAGACGCACAAAAGCGCAAAGGCCUUCUGGAGCCUAAGACGCAAGGCGAGGCGCGCGCCCAACUGAAGCAAAGCGCACGUUGAAAAAAAAAAAAAAAAAAAAAAAAAAGAAAGAAACCACCCAAUAAAGAUGCAACAGUAUAUAUAAAGAUGCAAAAGUCAACUAAAUCAAUUACUUAAGUUUAAUAUUCAACAUAAACAUGCCAAAGCCAACUAAAUCAAGUACUUGAGUUCAACAGUGAAUAAUCAUAAAAAUGCAAAAUGCAAAAAACAUAAUAUUAUUUCAUGCAAAAAGCAAAAAAGCAUUUAUCUGUCCAUAACUCCAUGUUGAUGCAGAAAGUAGAAAGUAGUGUUGAUGCAGAAAGCAGAAUAUUAUUUAUUAAUAUAUGGAAAUUAUUUCGAUCACAACUUAUAUAUAUAUAUAUAUAAAUAUAUAUAUAUAUAAAUUUUAAUUCAACUAUACAACUAUGAAAGAAAAAACAAAACCUCUGAAUAUUGCAAUUUGAUUGAAUUUAUUUAAUUUUUAGUGAUUCAAUAAUUUCACUGAACACUUGAAUUUUAUAAAUUGAUAUAUGCAGUGAAGUUCUCUAGUUAACCAGUUUUUCUCAAUGACUGCAAAUUUAAAAUAUAUAUAUUUUCGUCAAAACAUAUAACAAAACUAAUAUGGUAAGAAAAAUAAUGCUAAAUUGAUUUAUAAUUUUUUAAAAUUUGUUUAGCUACAAACACGUGUGCGAUCAAUAUAUAUACUAAAUGUGUCCUUAUGAAAUACAAAGGAAAAGUCUAAAGGCAUACACAAUUACACACUUAGAACUGGGAACCAAAAAAGAGAGAGAAAAGAAGAUUCUGUCGAGACUCGGAGAAGAAAAGAAAAGAAUUAUGCCGACACUCCAGAGAGCUGAGAGAAGAGAGAAGAAGAAGAAAAGAAGAAGAAAAGAGAGAAAAAGAUGCCGAGAGAAGAGAAGAGAGAAAAAUAAGAGAGAGAAGAAGAACAUACCGUGACUCAGCAGAUCCGAGAUUGCUUCGCCUUCGCCUUCGCGGUUCGCAAGCCCUAGCCUCUGUCUCUUGAGUCUUUCCUUUUACUAUUUUGGUUAAUUGGUUUUCUUUUAUUUUUUUUUGUUUUGUAAGUUUGGUAAAGUUAUAUAAAAAGUAAUAAUAAUCAAAUAGUUACCAAAAAUAAUAAUAAUAAACAAUAGCAAACAAAAAUAAUAACAAAACAACUAAAAAAAAGCCUUUUUGAAGCAGGCACGCCUUUUAUGCGCCUAUAGCCUUGCGCCUUAGUAGUAGAGGCGCGCGCCCUCUUCAAGUUAGUCGCCUUAAGUCCUUAAAGGCGCCAUGAUGGUGCCUCCCGCACCUUUGACAACUAUGGUAACAACACAAAAAUUCGGCAUGACCUCUGCAGAAAAGAGUCCUUCUACAACCUGCUUAAUGCAUAUGAAAUGCAAUGGCCUCACUUGGGCCUUCAAAACUGAACUAACAUACUACAACACAAGAUGUAAAUAAUAAACCUUAAUCCAAAAUCUACAACAUCAACACCAUCCUCAAAAGAAUUCAUCAUCAUCAUCCCAUUCAUCCAGAACAUAGAAAUACCUGUCUUAUACAUAGUCCCAUGCUCACAUACUAGAAUUUUACUCCAAUUACAUCAACUUACAGUCCAUGAAGCAAAAUUACAAUAACAAGAGUUCAUAAGUCUCUAUAUCAAAUAUAACAAACUAAGGUUAUACAUAAAUAAUAGGACUUAGAUACAAAAAUAGCAAAUGAUCCUCUAAUCCAAACUAAGCCUGUGGUGGAGCAUCAUCCGCCACUUCUUUCCCGUGUCUUGAAAAAUAUUAAAAAAAUAAAUAAUGGGGAGUAGAAGUCACCUAAGGCGUUAGUUUUUGACUCCGUUGAACCACGUAGCAUGUAAAGGAAUAGAAAAGGAAUCGGGGUCAUACAAUGGGGGUAUGCAACAUUUUCAACUCAAUAGGCAACAGUCCCAAUACUUAACGCAAUUUCACAAUUGAUGUGCUUGAUAUGAAAUGUGAUGUACCCGUCCCAAAUCUGGCCUAUACCGACCCAACCCACAUUUUUUUAAAAAAAAUCCGAUAACUUGACUUUACCGAGGCAAGAUUAAUAACUAUCUCCGGUUUUAAAUCCGGCAACCGUUAAGGGGCCUAGUAUUAACUUUUUCACACCCUACACUGGGCCGCGCUCCCUUUAGGUCAAGUUAGCCCCGGACUCGCGAAAUCCGGUUCAUUUAAAUAAAAAAAAAACCUUUCCAUCUUUUUUUAAAAAAAAACUUUACUCUUUAAAAGUAUCAAAAUUUUCCUUUCACCUCUUCUCCGAACCCCUCCCUUAUGCCAUGAUAUGCUAUGUAAUGAUUUACAUCCUUAUAAUUUCAAUUCCAUCAUCAUCGUAUCAAGAACAACGUUAUCAUAGCAUUUAUAUUAAUCAACUAAGAUUAUGGCAUACUUUGGAAGUUUAAAACAAUAAGGACAUAAUUAUCCAAAGUAAGAUAUAUGAACAAGAAUCAUCCACAAGCAUGCCAACAUAUAAUUAUAUACACAAUAUCAUGCUUGAACACAUAAAACAUUCAUAAUCCACAAUCUCAUAUCAAGGUUUAAAAUUUUAGAAAUAUAAUAUAAGUAAAUAAAAAUUGCUCAAAUACAAAGACAAAACUUAACACAUUAGGGAGACCCCUACCUCACAAGAAGAACAACCCAAGCAAAGCCUCAAUGAAAGAGUUGUUUCAUGGAUCCGAAAUAGAGUAUUUGAGUUCUCCCAAAUACUAAAAAAUGUAUCAUGCCUGAAUCAAACUAGAGUUCGGGGUGGUGGAGGAACUGGAUUGGAAAAAAAGAUGGAUUCUAGUUGGAAGAUAUCUAAUGAAACCAUCACUGGAAUUCAGAUCUUAUUCAAAGAGAAAGACAUCAAAUAUCUGGAGUUUUAUUUUGUAUAUCAUAUGGGAAUUGUUUGAUUGUCUUUCUCUGAGGAAGAGGCAAAAUAUAAUCAACUUGAAUUCGGGAACGCUAUUCGUAUAGCCCCAAAAUAGCCCAAUACGAAUUCCCAAAUGGUGGCCAAACGGAGAUUGGCUUCAAUCAAAAUGACGGCCUCGACGAGCUCUCCAACUUUGCCUUAAGCGGCAAUACCAAAUUCUCAAAGAAAAUGGCUAGAUCGAGGCUUUUAUGGUUGAAGGAAGAAAAUAAUUAGAAAUGGUAGAGAGAGAGAAAUUAGAGAAGAAAAGAAAAUAGAAUGGGUCUGUAAUGACCAAUUAGUCAUUGUAAUGACUUAAAACAUCCAGCGGACCCCACGACUUAAAAGAAUUUCUUUUAACAUUAUUACUUAUAUAUAUAUAUAUAUAUAUACACACACACAUAUACAAUAAUCAAUUCACCACCACAUUAAUAAACAUAUAACCACAUAAUUUUGCAUCAAAUAAACAUGCAUGAAAUGCAAUAGACCCGUGACAUAACUCCCGUGCACAACGACCCCGGUAGCGGGUCCCGCCCAGGACCUCCCAGCCCGAAAAAUAGAAAAAUGCCGAAAUGGCAACCAAUGCAUUUUUAAGAGUCCUGAAUUCAAGAAAAUGUCCUAAUCAACACUCUGACACACUCGGCACACCCCACGGUGUCUGACACGUAAAACGUGAAAAGACGAAAAAAUCAUAAACAUUACAUUAUUCUUAUAAACUCUAAUCUAUUUCCUUUUAGAUGUAGUUAUUGGUUUACAUAUUAUGCUAUAUAUGAGACAAUAAUAUAACUUAUUUCCUCGCUAAAUUAACAACGGAUUGUACCAUAUUCUUCAUUGAGCAACUAGGAUAAUAAAAGUAUUCCCAGUAAUAAGUUGGUUUUUUAUAUUCUCAGUAUUUUUGACUGCGUGUGAGCUUAGGUAGUAAAGUAGAUUGCAGUAUCAGAGACUUCACUUAAACUUGAAGAAUUAAUGCGGUAAAGGUGAAAACAGAAUGGGAUGGGAGGGGACUGAAAGGAAAGGGGAGAUCAUAAUUUUAUGCCUUAGUUGACUAUUUUACAUGAAGCUACUAAUUUCGUGUAUCAUGCUUGCAUGUACUCUAUAACCUACUUGCCUUUGUAGUUUCUUCAAUCACAUUGUUUAUAGUUGCCACUUUAAGGACACAAAUAUGGAUAUGAGUUGGAUUCACAGAUCAAGGUACAUUUUUUAGAAUAUUUUUCCUUCCAUUUUAUAUGAUUUAUAAGCUUAUAACACAUGUUUAACAAGUUAGUCUCUCUCUUUUCUUUUCUUUUCUUUUUUUUUUUUUUUUUUAAUGUGUUCGGUAAUAUCAGAGUGAGCGAAGAAUACGUAGAAGGAGUUGGAAUCCGCGUUCAGAAGUAAGGGGCAUUGAAUUGGGACAUCAUAAUUGGGAAGUAAGUGUUACCAUUCCAAUCAUGCAAGAAAAACCAUUACCUAUUGCUUCUAUACGUUUCAAAACUAUUGGAGAUACAGUUGGAGCUAGCGUUUCUUGGCCUUCUGCUUAUGUUAUAUAUAGAGAAGGAUGAUACUUGGAGGAUAACAAAGAUGAUAAAUGGAUGAAACUCAAUCUUCAUAUAACAAAGAAAGUUGAUAUUGAGCUUUUCCUCAUCAAUUUGUAGCUCUGUUUAAAGACAUGUUCAUUGAAAAAUUAUUUUUUUAUGGAUGUCGCGUCUAAUGCAUAUAAAUUUUAAUCUUCUCAUCAUAUAUUUCUUCAUUGGCUGCAGGGCUUCCUUUUUUUGUGCAUUUGAUGUGUCUGGCAUUGGUUGCUUUGGUUUCUCAUUGGAAUGGCAUGGGAUAAUCUUCUACUACUGUUGUCUUCAGUUUAGUUUAAAGGAACCAGCUUUGUUCUCUCGUGAGAGGAGAGUGUGUGUGGGGACUGAGAGGAAGGGUUGCAUUAGAUAGAAGAGAGUUUGUUUGGGUCGUGGGAUAAUAUUUAUUGGCAUAAUGAGUUAUGCAACUAGACUACAAAAAACCAAUAGGGGUGGUUGUACAAAGAUGAUUCUUGGAGGAUAACAAGGAUGAAACAUAGAGUCUCUCUUUCUCUCUGUUUUUUUUUUUUUUCACAA